rnacentral:SRP_RNA from 1 species
AUAUCGACCCCUUAUAGGGUUGGGUGAACCCCGCCAGGCCCGAAAGGGAGCAACGGUAGCCCAGUCCCUAUAAGGGGCCGGCCUUUA